rnacentral:rRNA from 1 species
CAGUAGCCGCGGUAAUACCGAGGGUGCAAGCGUUAAUCGGAAUUACUGGGCGUAAAGCGCGCGUAGGUGGUUUGUUAAGUUGGAUGUGAAAUCCCCGGGCUCAACCUGGGAACUGCAUCCAAAACUGGCAAGCUAGAGUAUGGUAGAGGGUGGUGGAAUUUCCUGUGUAGCGGUGAAAUGCGUAGAUAUAGGAAGGAACACCAGUGGCGAAGGCGACCACCUGGACUGAUACUGACACUGAGGUGCGAAAGCGUGGGGAGCAAACAGGAUUAGAUACCCGGGUAGUCCCUGUCUCUUAUAC